GUCAAUCAGGACUGAGUAGAGACGUCUGGUGCAGUUGGAAUAAAGACUUCAUAUUAAUGUGUCUCCUUCACUGCCAGCCAUAAAUCUCACACAUUAAAACCACUGACUGGAGAAAUGAACAACACUGGGGAUCUGGUUAUAAUGGCACCUGUCAAGCAGUGGAUAUCUAUUCAGGUGAACAUCAAGCCCUUGAUUUACUGUAAGCAGGAAAAAAGGACAAAUCUAAGAAUCUUUUUGUUCAAACUUUGAUGCUCGGUGACUAGAUCAGAGAAUCUCCAGACAGCAUGGUUUUCUUGGUGUGCAGUGCCUAAAAAUGGCCCAGGGGUGACAGGAUGCCCUGCAACAGUGGCUCUCUGAGGAGCAUGAUGAGUAUAUAGCCUUGGUUCGGAUUCUAAUCACCAUUAUUCUUUUGAAUAGCUGGUAUCAGUACAUGACAAAUAAUAUAAAGCAGAAAUGACAAGUUGUCUUUGAACUGUGAGCACUUCAGUGUCUCAGAGUCUUUAGUCACUCUGUCACUUUCAACUUCUCAGUCAUGAAGUCUUUUCUUUUUUUCAGCUAUGCCAAUAUAAAUUGUUCAUAAAAUGCACGAAUGUAGCACUCAGGUAGGACUAACAUCAGUCAUCGUGCGCACGUCACAUGGAAAUACAUUGCGCUGACAGAUCUGGAUUAGCGCACACUGUGUUUACUCUGUGCAGAAUGAUCUGGACGAGGGCUUCACAGCGCUUGACGGAGGACGACCGGGAUGUUUGCUUGCCAAUGGGCGGCCUUUGUCGGACAAAGGAAGGAUUCCGAAGCGCAGUGCCGUGGGAGGUGCAGACAGAAGAGUCAAUGAACGAAGAGCCUGCUGUGAUGUACAAGAAGACCAGAUGUAAGAACACACAGCUGCAGGGCCAUGUUGAAGUGUCCCUACAUGUGCAACAGCUGGGAGAAGAGAAGAGAGUGCAAGAAACCCGAUCAGGAAGUGCACCAAGUUUUCAUGGUUCACCAACGGAGCGGCCCACCAGGUGUCAAACACAAGCACGUCUGGAAAGAUCAACAGGCCGUCCGAGGCUGGCCGUGAAUGAACGAGCUGUCAGUUCAGCUGAAAUAUGAAGGAUGUCCGACCCCCCAAACCCUCUUCCUGACUUGGACCUGAGCUCUGGUUCAGAGGGCCUGUAUCGUUGCGGUAUCGCUCUCCUUGCAAAGGGAUCUUCAAGCAGCUUGUCCACAAAGGCCUGGAUAUUUCAUUUUGGCUUCUGCUAAGACCCCUAUUAGCACGGUGCACUUAGUUAAUAGCCUGGGUGUCAGAUUGUACUCAGCGUUUCAUUCCUUAGUGUAUCAUGUGACCUGAUGUUAGUGCAGUUACAUAUAACCUUAGAGGUGUAAAUCUUCUCUGGCAACCAUUUAAAACAUUUAGACUGUGUUGCCACCCUUAUUUAACUUUUGUUAUAGACCAAAACUGAAGACACAGGACUAUGAAACAACAUCAUGUUAGUUUAUGUAAUAAAAAAAAAAAAAUAGCAAACA
rnacentral:lncRNA from 1 species